rnacentral:rRNA from 1 species
AUUGAACGCUGGCGGCAGGCCUAACACAUGCAAGUCGAACGGUAGCACAGAGAGCUUGCUCUCGGGUGACGAGUGGCGGACGGGUGAGUAACGUCUGGGAAGCUGCCCGAUGGAGGGGGAUAACUACUGGAAACGGUAGCUAAUACCGCAUAACGUCGCAAGACCAAAGUGGGGGACCUUCGGGCCUCACACCAUCGGAUGUGCCCAGAUGGGAUUAGCUAGUAGGUGGGGUAAUGGCUCACCUAGGCGACGAUCCCUAGCUGGUAUGAGAGGAUGACCAGCCACACUGGAACUGAGACACGGUCCAGACUCCUACGGGAGGCAGCAGUGGGGAAUAUUGCACAAUGGGCGAAAGCCUGAUGCAGCCAUGCCGCGUGUAUGAAGAAGGCCUUCGGGUUGUAAAGUACUUUCAGCGGGGAGGAAGGCGGUGAAGUUAAUAACUUCACCGAUUGACGUUACCCGCAGAAGAAGCACCGGCUAACUCCGUGCCAGCAGCCGCCGUAA